rnacentral:rRNA from 1 species
UACGGAGGGUGCGAGCGUUGUCCGGAAUCACUGGGCGUAAAGGGCGCGUAGGCGGCCUGAUAAGUAGGGGGUGAAAUCCUGCGGCUUAACCGCAGGGCUGCCUUCUAAACUGUCAGGCUAGAGCACAGUAGAGGCAGGUGGAAUUCCCGGUGUAGCGGUGGAAUGCGUAGAGAUCGGGAAGAACAUCAGUGGCGGAAGGCGGCCUGCUGGGCUGUUGCUGACGCUGAGGCGCGACAGCGUGGGGAGCAAACAGG